rnacentral:lncRNA from 1 species
GCCUAUUAUAAUAUAUUGCAUAUGGUAAUAUUAAUUUUGCAGAAUAUUAUUAUAUAUUAUAAUCCUAUAUUAUAAGAAUGUAACAUUCUGUCAUUUCCAUGUGAUUAGCAUUAACAUUUUAAUAUGAUAUCAAUAUUAAAUAAUAAUAUUACAUGUUAUAUUAUAUAUAAUGUCAUAGUACCGUAGUGUAUUAUAUUGUUAACAAAUAUAAAAAUAUAUCAUACAAUGAUAUUUUAAUUAUAAC